GCACACCGCGUGAGUGAGAGGGUUUCGGCUCGUAAAGCUCUGUUGUUAAAGAAGAACACGUAAGAAAGUAACUGUUCAUACGUUGACGGUAUUUAACCAGAAAGUCACGGCUAACUACGUGCCAGCAGCCGCGGUAAUACGUAGGUGGCAAGCGUUAUCCGGAUUUAUUGGGCGUAAAGAGAGUGCAGGCGGUUUUCUAAGUCUGAUGUGAAAGCCUUCGGCUUAACCGGAGAAGUGCAUCGGAAACUGGAUAACUUGAGUGCAGAAGAGGGUAGUGGAACUCCAUGUGUAGCGGUG
rnacentral:rRNA from 1 species